UGAUAUUCCUUCACUUGAUCGAUACCUUGGUUCUCAAAACUGAGGGAAAUACUUACCGCCGCUGUGCUACAUCACCCUUUUCGGUUCGAGGGAACACCAACGCAAGGCUCCAAGGCCAUAGGGGAAAUGCUUUGCAUAUUUGCCUAGGAAGUCCCUAAAGGCGUAGCCGUAGCAGAAGGAUUCCUGGUGCCGUUGCUGAGGAGUAUCAAGACAAGAAUAGUCUCCCGUCAACACGUGUUUCUGGCACCGUUGGAACGUCUUUUGUUGCAGUAGCAAUGGGUCACAUCAAGUGUUUGCCUAUGAUGAAGUGGAGCAACAGCAGAUGCGACAUGACGAUGCUACGCUCCUUGAAGAAGAUAGUCUCCGGGCUUCUACGCAUGUUGCA
rnacentral:lncRNA from 1 species